CAAUAUCAUUAGCCUAAGUAAAAAAACACGGGGGAACCAAGUUUUGGGGUGAAUCAUAUUUACUAUGAAGGUUAACCUUUACCUAAUCCGUCAGCUAACCCCGUCGGUAAAAGGAGCGAAAUA
rnacentral:sRNA from 2 species